UUAGGGCAACCAUCCAAUGUAGAUUUGGGCUUGGACUUUGUUCACUUCAGUUCGCAUUUGGGCAGCCCGCUCCGACCUGGAUGCUCCGGCGAGGCCACCUUCUUCUUCUUCUUCUUCAGUUUCCAAUAUUCUCUCGUGCGUCGCAACAAAAAUGAAGCGAAGGAUCUCUUCUUUCGGUUUACGUUCGAUCAAUUAACCUAAUAGCAUCUCAAAACCAAUCAAUUCGCCAUGUCCUUUUCUUCACGCUCCGCAAAGCUCACCAUUCUAGCUCUUCUCUCCGCCUCUACUUUGUAUUGUUUCUACAAGUCCCGCCGUCUCAGAAAGCUUAAACUCUCCUUAAACCCCACUCUUUCUUCUCGCAAACCCAAACUGUUUUUCAUUUCUCAAACUGGUACCUCCAAGGCCCUAGCUCAUCGUCUGCUCAACGUUUUGAAUUCCAAUGGGUUGGUUUUCGAUCUUGUUGAUCCCAAGGAUUACGAGCCUGAGGAUCUUUUUAAGGAAACUUUAGUUUUGUUUGUUGCUUCCACUUGGGAAGACGGAGGACCGCCUCCUCAUGCUAAAUUUCUCGCUAAUUGGCUAUCUGAAAGCGCUGAGGAUUUUAGAGUUGGUUCGUUGUUGCUUUCUCAGUGUAAAUUUUCUGUGUUUGGGGUUGGUAGUCGAGUUUAUGGUGAGACAUACAAUGCGGUUGCAAGGGAUUUUUCUAAGCGGAUGAAGGCAUUGGGUGCGAAGGAGAUUUUACCGAUUGGCGAAGGAGACGUUGAUGGAGGUGAUAUUGAUAAGUGUUUUGAUGAUUGGAGUAGGAAAUUGCUGAAGGUUGUGAAGGUUGAUGCCGAGGGAAAUGGGGUGGAAUUAUGUUCUGGGAUUGCUGGGGACAGUGAUGCUGUAAGUGUUGAGGAGGAGUAUGAAGAAGAAGAUGACGACCUUGGGGAGGAGGACAUCGUUGAUCUUGAGGAUAUUGCCGGUAAGGGCCCUUCGAGAAAGUCUACGAAUGUAGUUGAAACUAAUGGGAAGUUGAAUGGGAAAAAGGUUAUGGUGACCCCGGUGAUUAGAGCGAGCUUGGAAAAGCAGGGAUAUAAAAUUAUUGGCUCACAUAGCGGAGUAAAAAUAUGUAGAUGGACGAAGUCUCAGCUUCGAGGACGAGGAGGUUGCUAUAAACAUUCAUUUUAUGGCAUAGAAAGUCAUCGAUGCAUGGAGGCAACUCCCAGUUUGGCGUGUGCCAACAAAUGUGUUUUCUGCUGGAGGCAUCACACAAAUCCAGUAGGAAAGAGUUGGCAGUGGGAGAUGGAUGAUCCAUUGGAUAUUGUGAAUUCCGCAAUAGAUUUACACACAAAGAUGAUCAAGCAAAUGAAAGGUGUUCCGGGUGUUACGCAGGAGAAAUUGGAGGAAGGCCUGUCUCCAAGACAUUGUGCCUUAUCCCUUGUUGGUGAACCUAUUAUGUACCCGGAGAUUAAUACACUUGUUGAUGAAUUGCAUCAAAGACGGAUUUCAACUUUCUUGGUGACAAAUGCUCAGUUUCCCGAUAAAAUAAAAUUGCUGAAGCCAGUCACCCAGUUGUAUGUAAGUGUAGAUGCUGCGACGAAGGAGAGCUUGAAGGCAAUUGAUAGACCACUUUUUGGGGAUUUCUGGGAGCGAUUCAUUGAUUCUUUGAAAGCUCUAAAUGAAAAGCAACAGCGAACAGUUUAUCGAUUGACGUUGGUGAAGGGGUGGAACACAGAAGAUAUCGAUGCCUAUUCGAAUCUCUUUAGCAUUGGUAGACCUGAUUUUGUAGAAAUCAAGGGCGUCACGUAUUGUGGAUCAUCUAAUACAUCAAAGUUGACAAUGGAGAAUGUUCCUUGGCAUUCUGAUGUUAAGUCUUUUUCGGAGGCUUUAGCUGCGAAAAGUCAAGGGGAGUAUGAAGUUGCUUGUGAGCACGUGCACUCGUGUUGCGUUCUUUUAGCUAAAACUGACAAAUUUAGGGUCGAUGGCCAGUGGUUCACUUGGAUAGAUUACGAGAAAUUCCAUGACCUGGUGGCCUCUGGAAAACCUUUUGAUAGCAAGGACUACAUGGCUCCAACACCAUCAUGGGCUGUAUAUGGCUCUGACGAAGGUGGAUUCGAUCCUGAUCAAUCUCGAUACAGGAAGGAGCGACAUCAUAAACCAAAACCCACAUCCUGACAGCUUUGAAUGUCCGGAUUCCUCUUAUAGGAUUGUACAGAAACAAAGCUUGUCAUUGCCAACUCCAUCCGAUCAGUUCAAGUGCAACCCGUGGAGAAUAAAGUACUUUAAUUGGUUGCGAGUGGCGAGGGAGUAAAGAGUCUUCUGGGGCUGCUGGUGAAUAACCCACGGUAAAAGAUGGAGAGACAAGAUCCUCAUCUGCUGGUCAUUUGUCCCCAGGUAAAUUUCUUUGGUGAUAUGUGAAAUUGACCUUGGAACAUAGUUUCUUCUAUUAUUUGGUCGUUUGUUUUAGGAAGUUUUACAUACCAUGAACCAAAGAACGGGAUGACCAUUGAUUUAGAUAUAUUUAAAGGCUUAGGAAUUCAGAAUUAGUGUGUUGUUUCGUAGGGUUUAUCCCCUAAAUUUUGGAUUUAAAUUCUAUAUUUAUGUUCUCUUUUAGAUACGAA